GACAUAAUUCCUUUCACACUAUUUUUUUUAUAAUGAUUUUCUUUCUCGAAAUUUGCAGGGAGAGCAUAGACGUGGCAGGCAUGGUUGAUGGUGGGUACAAUUUAGUGGCCAAUUAUGAGGAUCAUGAAGGGCCUUGCGGAUGCUUAUUCCGGAGAUGAGCUUGUGCCAUCGGAGCUGCGUGGUGAAUAUGUGCGAGGACGUGCUAGCUAAACAUGGGAGAGAACAGAAAGAAGAGCUUGUUAUCUUUUGGACACCGCUGGACUUCAUUGAGGAGACCUAUUCCUCUGAUGGGCUUGAGUUACUAUCUCUGGUCACUGUAACAAAGCCAGUCAUGGUAUGAUUUAGAUCGCUCAGUUUUGCCAGUGUUUGUCUUCUAGACUUAUUAUUAGAGAGACUUCUCAAUGUACUAGCAUGUUUUCUGAAGCUGCUGUAUUAGGGGCUAUCGAGCAAAAACAUUUGUAGCAGGGACUACCAGACAGCUAUUGCACGUUUGUA